CCGAGUUUACAACUCCCAAACCCAAUGUGAACCAUACCAAACUGUUGCCUCGGCGGGGUCACGCCCCAGGUGCGUCGCAGCCCCGGAACCAGGCGCCCGCCGGAGGGACCAACCAAACUCUUUCUGUAGUCCCCUCGCGGACGUUAUUUCUUACAGCUCUGAGCAAAAAUUCAAAAUGAGUCA
rnacentral:misc_RNA from 1 species